rnacentral:rRNA from 1 species
GACGAGCUGUGCAAACGUUAUUCGGAAUUACUGGGCUUAAAGAGUUCGUAGGCGGCCUGUUAGGUGGGGUGUGAAAUCCCUCGGCUCAACCGAGGAAUGGCGCUCCAAACCGGCAGGCUUGAGGAAGGUAGAGGUGAGCGGAACUGAUGGUGGAGCGGUGAAAUGCGUUGAUAUCAUCAGGAACACCGGAGGCGAAGGCGGCUCACUGGGCCUUAUCUGACGCUGAGGAACGAAAGCCAGGGUAGCGAACGGG